AAACGGAUGAAGGUGAUUAAAUGGUACUCACCAUUCCUGAGGGUCAGACUAAUGGUCAGCAGGCGUCAUUCACAGUUUUCAAGAGGCUGGUUCCAGGAUUUUGAUUUACGCCUUUUGGCAACGUGCAGAGGAUUGUUACUGCCUGCUGGGUUUUAGACCACAGAGACAUACCAAGUGAUUUCCCACCCGUGCACCACCCUGUGGAAUUCCUGGCAGUGAUGUGCAGUCAGCACCAAAGACAGGCUUCACUCGCCUCAGCUGCAGCAGAUGAGCUUCAUCGGAGGACGCUGCACCGUUGCUGGGAUGCCUGCUUGUGUAUAGCCAUAGUCAGGAAAUGUCACUGUUGGCAUCUGACGAAGGCUAGUGUGCCAACCCAAGCGUGCCUCCUAGCCACCUGCGGCCCAACCUCCUGUGCUGCAGACACUGGCUCGCUUGUUUGUUCACCAACCAUUCCCUGCCAUUCCCCUCCAAAGUCAGCCUGUCUGGCCUGCCCUGAGCUUGUGAAAGAUCAAUCAGCUGGAGAGCCCAGAGAGAAUCCACGCACACUUAAGAAGAACAGGCCAACUGGGUGCAGAAAGGCCCCAGAUUUGAUUCAAAUCGACUCUCCCCUCUUGCUGUGAGGUGCCAGUGCUAACCGCUGCAGUACUUAAACAGAUGGGUGAUAUUAACUUUUUUUAAGGGCCAGACUAUGGAGACAAGGAAGUUUGCAUUAAGGUACGGUUCAGAGAUAAAGCUCCAGGCAUUCAUACUCCUAAUGCUUAAUUUAUACUACCACAGUCGGGUCUGUUUUGCAGUGGUAUUUGCCUACAGACAGCCAACUGAAAGGGGUGGUCAACUAAACCAAACAUGCUCCCAAAUGCACAUUCCUCAUCAUGGAUGAUAGUGUGCAUGUUAUUUUUACACGGUGUCGUACCAAAAUCAAAAAUAAAUAAAUAAAAGAAGAAGAAAAAGUUAAUAAAAUGUUGAAAGAACUGUGAUAUUCAGAUUCAGUCAUUUAUGCAAAAGGAAGAAAGUAAAGUAGAUCAAGUUAAUCUGGUGUUUUGAGUUUUUAAGCACGAUGCCUACAGGACCGAGUCUACACUCUUUAUAUUAUGGCAAAAACAUACAAAAGAUUAUCACAACUAAUUAUUCUUUAAAGAAGGAGGAUAUUUUUACUCAUUAUUCGCAACAUAAACCACUUGCUUGUUGCAUCCGGUCAUUUAUAGACUGUUAAAGAUACAUUCAAAUGUGUUUUUAUCCACGGUUGACAUACUGACACCAUAAAACUGGGCUUCUAUUACUAGCCAGAGAUCCAUCAUGGAGACCAAAGUCAGUUGUGGGAGACGCUGUUUUGUUCCAAAAGCAGGAUAGCUUUGAGAAGACACAGAGAGCCUUGUUAUGUCUCUUUCUCUGACUCUCCCACUGCUCACAUAGGGCUGGUUUUGAGUAAACCCUCUUAUUGUUGCCACCAGCCCCCUCUUCACCCACAUUUCCAUUUAUAUCCCAUUUUCCACUUCAUUUCCAUGCUAAUUUCAGGAGACAAAAAAAUCCCAUGUUAUGUCAUUUAUAGGGCUGCAGCUGGUUUAUCUAUCCGUACAAGGGGAAAACCAGUGGGGCUGGCCUCGGGGCAUGGGCUCCCCUUC